GAUGGUGCGAUACCAAAGAGUUCAUUCAUUGUAUUGCUGAAUUCCUAAAGGGUAUGAUCAGUCCUCCACAGAGUUUUCGAAUAUCUACAUGGACAUGUUGAUGACAAAGAACUGCUGGAAGCUCAACAAAUCAGAUGCUUUGAAGCCAGUAUUUCAAGCAAGGUUUUUCACUGGAUGCCAGGCCAGGGAAGUGGAAUGAAAAACUACACCCAAGGAACCAGGCUGAUUGGCUUGAAGGUAUGCCUGAACUAGAAUUCCAACCGCAAACAGCAUUCUUCACCAGCAGAGUCUUGCAUGAGAGCAAAGCAGGACUAGAGGCAUACCAAACACAGAGACAACGUAGAAGAUACAGCGAUGUCCCUCUCACACAAAGCUGUAACAUGGUAAACAGGUCAUAUCGCCUAAUUGGAAAUAACCAUGAUUGUUUGACCAUAAAUUGGGAUUCCACUUAACUUCGCAGACUACGUGGUGCAGAAGGAACGAGCUUUACUUCGGCAAUUCACAAGUGUACUCUCAAAGGAUAUUCAGAAUCUUUUGUUGUUCAUUGUGCUCAUACAGCCUUAACUUUAAAGGGAAUGUUUGACAACAGUUAAAACUGAUGCAUUGAAAUGUACAUCUGAAUAUAGAUAUGGAUUCACAGAAUAAAUACAUGACAGCUGGGGCUUCUUUAUUAGAUUCUAGACAAGAAUUUGCUUGCUGGUCACCUCGUUUGGUAAGAGUAAAAGAAUUCUAUCCAUUCGUCACUAAAUGCAAUUUCUGUGAGGCUUUCUCAUGCCUGACAACAAAUCAGGAAGCACUCUAACAGAAUGAUGGAAUUGCAUUUUGGCAAAAGCUAUGGGGACUACACAGAUGGGAAAUGAGAGAAAAGCCACAUGGAUAAGAAAAACCAUGAGUUUUCAGCACAUAACAAAAAUAUAAAAGAAAACUCUCUCGGGGACCCCGUGGGGUCACUUGAUUCAACAACAGUGAUUUAUUUUCCAUUCAGCAAGGGUUCUAAACUUUGGGGCUAGAGGGAGUUUUAUGACAUAUGGCUCUCAGCACCAGCUGUGACAGGGAAAAGGGGCUGUUGAUAGAAUAAUUUUGACUCAGAUAAUGAGACCCUUAGCUGGAUGAAUCUAAUGGCUUCACAGGAAAUUUUAAGAUGGAAGUCAGCCAACAAACCCAUCUUCAUUUGUUCU